GCUGUGACACUCCUCUUUAGUAGCGGGGUAACCGUUUAGGUGGGAGGGAGAGGGGCUUGUAGUACAGUACAUAAAGGGCUGAGAUCAAAACUCAAAGUUUCAGAAGAGUGAAAGCACGCUGCUUCUUGAAAGCUGAACACCACGUGUCUGCUGCCUGACCAAGACUUGCCGGAUUCUUCGCUCUUGUAUACAUUUCGGUAUAUGGGGAGAUUGUUUAUUAGAAACGGUGCUCACUGAAAGGCUUGAGAUCGACUCAUUUAAGAGCAAAGAGUUAUCCUGAAGAUGCAGUCCAGCUUGAUCUUAACCUCUUUUUUCUGUUUCACAACAUGGAUAAACUUGGUUCAAGCAAUCAAUGGAUCUCCUAAUGAUUGUCCAUGUACUGCGGUCUCCAAAAUAAGAAUCCAUCAUUCUAAUAUUGAGAAUUACACCAGUCAGACGGCAGGCAUCUGUCUCUAUAGUGCAAUUGCGUUUCGUACGGUGAAAGGAAAGACAAUUUGCUCCAAUCCCAAUGAUGAAUGGGCAAAAAGUGUCAUCCGGCAGCUGGAGAAAAGACGGAAGGAAAAAAUAUCAACACGAGGAAAACCACCACAGUCGACAAGGAUGUCGACUGUGGGGAGGUGGGGAUCAACCUCAACAUCCCCACCAUUGUCAGGACCAACGUCAACAUCAAGCCCCGCAUCAUUAUUGGGAUCCGAACCAACAUCAGACCUAACAUUAGCACCAUCAACCAAAACAUCAACCUCCUCAACAGCACCAACCUCAAUACCAUCAUCAACAACUUUAACUUCAGUAUCUACCCAGUCAACUCCAAAUCCAAGAUCAGCAUCAACAUCAUUAUCAAACACCGUUGCUGGUACCUCUGGUACCACCUCAGCAAACGAUCGUAUACCAUCAACAUCCGUGAAAACAAGAAAAGCACCCAGACGAAGACAUCAAAGAACCAAGAAACAACCAAAACGGAGAAAUAUGAAGAAAUGGCAGAGAAAAUAUACAAGGAAAUCAAAGUGACUGCUGUCAGCAAAGAUUCUUUUAAGAAAUAUAACAUGCAAUACUUAAAUAUUGUGGCUUUCAGUGCUUUGCAACUCAUGAACGCGUACAACAAACUGAGGAUGAACAGUGGCUAUAUUUGCAUAUUUAAUAUUUCCUAUGUGCAUAUUUUGUUAGCAUUUUUUUCCUUCACAACUAUCUAACAUCUAAAGAUUGUCUUUCAACUCCUCCAGUGUCCUGACCAGCUUGAAUAUCAAAUCGUUAAUGUAGCACAACAAAAUAAUUGUGAUUAUAUUGUACAAUUAUAUCUGUACUACAUCCAGGUAAAGAUGAUUAUAUUUUU